rnacentral:rRNA from 1 species
CGGCAAGAGCUCAAAUUUGAAAGCUGGCUCCUUCGGGGUCCGCAUUGUAAUUUGCAGAGGAUGCUUCGGGAGCGGUCCCCAUCUAAGUGCCCUGGAACGGGACGUCAUAGAGGGUGAGAAUCCCGUAUGGGAUGGGGUGUCCGCGCCCGUGUGAAGCUCCUUCGAC